rnacentral:rRNA from 1 species
AUGCACGCUGGCGGCGUGCCUAAUCCCUGCAAGUCGAGCGAACAGACGAGGAGCUUGCUCCUCUGACGUUAGCGGCGGACGGGUGAGUAACACGUGGAUAACCUACCUAUAAGACUGGGAUAACUUCGGGAAACCGGAGCUAAUACCGGAUAAUAUAUUGAACCGCAUGGUUCAAUAGUGAAGGACGGUUUUGCUGUCACUUAUAGAUGGAUCCGCGCCGCAUUAGCUAGUUGGUAAGGUAACGGCUUACCAAGGCAACGAUGCGUAGCCGACCUGAGAGGGUGAUCGGCCACACUGGAACUGAGACACGGUCCAGACUCCUACGGGAGGCAGCAGUAGGGAAUCUUCCGCAAUGGGCGAAAGCCUGACGGAGCAACGCCGCGUGAGUGAUGAAGGUCUUCGGAUCGUAAAACUCUGUUAUUAGGGAAGAACAAAUGUGUAAGUAACUAUGCACGUCUUGACGGUACCUAAUCAGAAAGCCACGGCUAACUACGUG